GACGUAGGGCGCGAGCGUUGUCCGGAUUUAUUGGGCGUAAAGAGCUCGUAGGCGGCUCGUUGCGUCCAUCGUGAAAACUCAGGGCUUAACUCUGAGCUUGCGGUGGAUACGGGCGGGCUAGAGUUCGGUAGGGGAGACUGGAAUUCCUGGUGUAGCGGUGAAAUGCGCAGAUAUCAGGAGGAACACCGGUGGCGAAGGCGGGUCUCUGGGCCGAUACUGACGCUGAGGAGCGAAAGCGUGGGGAGCGAACAGG
rnacentral:rRNA from 3 species